rnacentral:rRNA from 1 species
GCGGACUAUGGGCGAAGCCUGACGCAGCACGCCGCGUGGAGGACGAAGGCCUUCGGGUCGUAAACUCCUUUUCCGGGGAACGAGCAAGGACGGUACCCCGGGAAUAAGUCUCGGCUAACUACGUGCCAGCAGCCGCGGUAAAACGUAGGAGGCGAGCGUUAUCCGGAUUUACUGGGCGUAAAGCGCACGCAGGUGGCUUUGCAAGUCGGACAUGAAAGCUCCUGGCUUAACUGGGAGAGGUUGUUCGAAACUGCGAGGCUUGAGGUUGGGAGAGGGACGUGGAAUUCCCGGUGUAGUGGUGGAAUGCGUAGAUAUCGGAAGGACACCAGUGGAG